rnacentral:lncRNA from 1 species
UUGGAACUACAUAUGACCUGAUUCUCUUAUAACCCGAGAUAUGUAGGAGGCCCAAAGCUAGGGCUCGGUCAUACCUCUUUCCCACUUAUUUACGUAUUAAUAUUGAAUAAAGGGUUGGGCCAAAAAUUAGUCAUGUUUACUUCUUUGAUUGAAAAUUCUUCAUAUUUUCAAGCAAAGAGGGGCAUUCUGUAAACAUCUAAUUUUUUACCAAACCUAAGUGUCUUUGCCAUUAUAGUGUUCAAUUUCGUUUUAGGGUCUAAAUAGGAUAUUUUAAAUUUAUCUUAU